AAAUUAAGGACUUAAUCUGCAGGUCCUCCAAAUUAUUGAACCAUGUCUCAUUCAAUAAAUAAUAGUUUCAAUGAUUUCAUUUGAUUUAAACAAGUGUCUGAGAUAGGCAUGUUGUUAUUCAAAAUAUUUAAUAACCUGUACAGGUAGCAGUAAACCAGAACGACAUGAAUACAGACGAUGAUGGCCCUGGACACGGCAGCCACACUCCAGACACACCAUUGCAG
rnacentral:lncRNA from 1 species